GGCUGGUUGCCCCACCUGAGGGCUGACGGGCUACUUCCGGGAUUCCUACGUCGGCCUAGCAGGCGAGCUAAGUAGUUUGCUAGCGGCUAACUGAAGAAGGACCGAAUCGACCCACACCCUACAAGCAAGACACCUCGUGAGUUCGUGAUUAGGGUUGUCCAGCAACUUGAACAAAGAACCCAAGUGUGAAAGAAGAAAAAGAGCCAAAGAUCUUUUUUUUUUUUUUUUGUUUGUUUGUUUUGGGGUUUUUGGUUUGUUUAUUUGAGGGGAAAAAAAGGUGUGAAAUCCAUCCAACCAUGUGACAUCCAAGCUCUACGUGGCUUUCUUUAGGAGACGCAGUAUGGGAAAAGAGCUCAAUCUGCAGAGAAUUUGGAGGUGGAAGACCCAAUCCCAGCAAAAAGUGGUGACACCUCGGUGACAUACACGGGGCUUCCAUGUGGAAUGAGUUGGUUUUGUGCCCUUAACGACACAGAGACUGACAACAGGAGUCUCAGAAGAUCCAGGGGACUCCACUUGGUUUUUUGAGUUAUUUUCCUAGUAAAUAAAAGGCUAGACAUCUUUUUUUAUGAUUUUUAUUUUCUUUUUAAUAGCAGCUUUUUUGAAAACAAAUCCCAGCUGGACUUUAGUUUGAUGUUAAGCGGCUUCCCACAACUGGUUUAGAACUGAAUUUGUUUGUUUAGUUGUUUUCCCCUGUGGACUAAGUUUGAAAUGCUGGAACUCUCCCUCCUGCCACUAUCCUCCGUUUCUUCCACCCACCCAGUGCCUAAAUAAGCCUUCUCUGGAGGAUCACAGAAGUCAUCAGCAGCUGCUGCGCUCAAUCCUCUGCCUGUUCUCCUCCAUGUGCUUCUGCUCUCGGCCUGUUGGCUGUACACCCACUACCUCUUAUCUCUUUAAUUUUUCUGGUCUUUUCAUUUUCACUGAGCGGGAUAAUCAGAACUGAAGCCCAGUGAUGGAGCAUUAAUGUAAACCCUGAGCUGCUCCAGUGUUGUGUGCGUGAGUGCUGGUCCUUUCGCAUAUAUGCACAGCAGUGUUACGGUUGCACUGGUGCCAGGGAGUAACAGUAGAAGAUUAGAUUUAUUUAUAUUGUUGCACCAAAUACAGUUCCAUUAAAGCCAUACAAAAAUAUUUAUGAAUUACCUAUACAUAUUUUUGUAUCACACUGCUCUUGUAUAGUUUUGCUUUUAUAAGCUUCUAUUAAGAUUAUGCACACAAAUUAAAUAUUUACAACAAGCUGUACACAUAGCAGUUUGUAUAUUGCUAUGUAAAAAAAAAAAAAAAAAAAAAAAAAAAAUCACUCUUUUUAGUGAUUAUAUUAGUACUGGGAGACAUUUAGUUUCUGGACACAGAAAACCCCUCAUGUUUCCCUUUAGUUGCUGCUUUGCAUAGUGUUGGUUUUCUUUUCCAGUCAGUAGCUAUGGCCCCUCCUCCCAGACGAACACCACAUUUGCCAUUUUGACCUGGAAAGCAUCCCUUUACAGCAGGUAGACAGUAGAUAGCUACCUCUCUCUGUCUUCCUCCACCCUCUCUCUAUCUCUGAUGCCUGGCUUCAGCAGUGGGGGGGUUGGGGGAGGAGUAGGUGGCGUUGCUUCUGCUCCCCCCGUCCAUUUCGACCCAGCCGGUACGUCCCGGUAUCUGCAGCCACCACUUUCCUUGUCGGAGCCACGACGCUCUUCUUCUGCUUCACGUGCCCAUGGUUGUCAGAGCAUUUGUCCUCUGUCAUUCCUAUAUAUAAUGCCGUAAUCUUCCUCUUCACCCUCGCCAACUUCUGCAUGGCCACUUUUAUGGAUCCUGGAAUCUUCCCCAGAGCGGAGGAAGAUGAGGACAAAGAGGAUGAUUUCCGUGCUCCACUCUAUAAGACAGUGGAGAUCAAAGGCAUCCAGGUGCGCAUGAAGUGGUGCUCAACGUGCCGCUUCUACCGACCACCGCGCUGCUCGCACUGCUCAGUGUGCGACAACUGUGUGGAGGAUUUUGAUCACCAUUGUCCUUGGGUGAACAACUGCAUUGGUCGGAGGAAUUAUCGUUAUUUCUUCCUAUUCUUACUUUCUCUCACAACCCACAUCAUGAACGUAUUUGGCUUUGGCUUGGUUUAUGUCCUGCACCACCAAAAGGAGUUGGACACGCCAGGUGCUGCUGUUACUAUGGGUGUGAUGUGUGUGGCUGGCCUGUUUUUUGUCCCGGUCGCUGGUCUGACUGGGUUUCACAUAGUGCUGGUGGCUCGUGGUCGAACCACAAAUGAACAGGUGACAGGGAAGUUUCGAGGAGGCGUUAACCCUUUCACCAACGGCUGCUUGAGGAAUAUUACGCAUGUACUCUGCAGCUCCCAAGCCCCCAGAUACAUAGGCCGUUGGCGGGGCCGGCAGACGGUGGAAGUUCAGCCACCUUUUCUUAGACCUGCUCUCACUGAGGCUCAACUAGAAGCCAAGGUCUUGGACAACGGCAUCCAGAAUGACCGACAUAGCACUAGGUCCAAGAGCAGUCUAGAUCAGAUGGAGAGCCAGUCAGCGGAUGCAGAGGCUCCACCUCCUCCAAAGCCAGAGCUUCGUUACCCUGGCCUGCCCCGUGCUGACACAGAGGAGAGCAGCUUGCUGACUGAAGCACCACCUACGCCAUCAAUGUAUAAGUACCGGCCAACCUACAACAGCCCAGGGAGAAACCACACUGCACUCACACAUCCCAACAAGAUGAUCCGUGGAGAGAGUCUUGACUCUCCAUCUCCUUCCAUCCUGCAGUCCAGCCGCCAACCUAGCUACCGCUCUGAGCCGAGCAGCCUGGAUGGAACCACAGUGGUGGGGGGAGGUGUAGGGGUGCGCAGAGGGGGAGGGGAAAGGGGUGAGGGCCCCGGAGGCCCUGGCGGGACUGCUGGUGGGGUGUUAGGGGGCAUGUCAGGUUACUCCCUGACUGGGCGCUCCUACACCUCCUACCCAUCCUCUCUGGUUCUGUCCACUGGCGGCUCACACUCCUCCAGCCUGCGCUCAGCACACACUGCACAUAACCCGCUGGCCACGCUCCAUUCAGAGGGCACCACAGACACCAGCUACAAAAGCCUGGCCAAUCAGACACCUCGGAAUGGCAGCCUGUCCUAUGAUAGCCUGCUGACACCAUCCGAGAGCCCAGAGUUCGAGUCAGCCGCCCACGAGCUGUCACCACAGAAGCCUCAUGCUCCAUUUCCCUCUUCAGCUGUAAGGGGCCAGACUGAGGUGGUGUCACCCAGUACUCCGCUGCAGGGCUACACGUCGCCCUUUCUCUCAGCUCAGAUUGCCCAGCAGAGGGAGGGGCAGCUGCUCCAGGGCUCUGCCACUUUCUCCUCCCCUCACAAGGCCUACCUGCGUGCUGUCAGCCCUCCCCUUCCCUCCUCCGCUGGGCCACCUGAGACCCACUACCUGCUUCAGCAUAACCAGGACUUCUCUUCCCGUCCCCCUCGUAACCCUUCCUCCUCAUCCUCUUCUCCUGGGGCUCGAUCGCUCGAGCCCCCUGUCUCCCCGCCUCCUCGUGGCCUCUCCCUAGGCAAGUCCCUGCCUUACAAUAUGGAGGCAGGGCCUCAGCACAAGCCUCGACUUGCAGGAGGAGGCGCUGUGCUGGGAGGGGGAGGAGGGCAACAGGCUACACAGUGAGUAGUGAUCCGUCGCCAGAUCCGUCAGCCUGCUACUCUUCUUCCUCCUUCUCCUUUUCCUACUCCUCUUCCUUCCUGGUUUGUGUCAGCCCUCCUCUUCUUCCAUGAUCUGUAUCCACCUCUCGCCCAGUCUUGGCUAAUCACACCACAUCCAAACCAGGGGGAGGGGUGAAGAAGGUAACCGGCGUCGGAGGGACCACAUAUGAGAUAUCGGUUUAAGUGACAAACAUCCCACAUGAGCUGCCACAAGGACAGGAGAAAGUCACUGGACAACUUCCACUUGUCUUUUACCUGAGCUGGAUAUUAUUCAUGACUGCAGGCUCCUGCUGUGCUGGACUAAGGGAGCAGGCCUGUCUGGUACUCACUUUAUUAUCUUUGUAAUGCCACUGGCCAGUCUUCUCUGCCAGCCUUUCAGAUUUGAACAAAGAGUAACUGGGGACACUGGUUCAUUUUUCACAGGGAUCAAUCGUCUCCAUUUAGCCACUUUGUGAGCCAUAGACUGAUGCGACUGUAUCAUCACGGCUGGGUACAGAUAUGUCUAUAGAGCACGCAUAGCUAGUCAAUGAUUUGCCAUUUUACUUUGGUACAUUAGCACACAGAGUAUUGACAACAGUGUCUGACACUCAUAGAAAGGAUGGCCUUUAUCCAGUGGAUGUAAAACUUUAAGAGGGAGGAUUUCGGACUGUUGACCAAUAAUAAUCUCUGAACGGACCACACAAUCUGUAUAUUGAUAAGAAUCAUGGAGUAAAGAGUCCAGUCUAUAAACACAGUAUCAUUUUAGUUUUAUAAGUCUUUUUUUAAAUAUUGUUUUAUAUAAAUGUAUACAGAUUAUUGGGUGAAAUCGUCAGGUAUUGGAGAUGACUAUUGAUAACGGUGGCAGUUAUACUGUAUGUAAUUAUUCAUGAAAGCGAUUUAAAAAUAAGUUGCCUGUUGAUAAAUGAUGGCUGCAUCAGCCAUUCAAAGUUUUUGCUGGAGUUUUCACUGUCCAAAGAAAAAGAUGAUGAUGAUGAUGAUGAUGAUCCUUUGGUGGACACCUGAAGUGGCAAAAAAUUACAGGUUAUUUUUUUUCUUUUCUUUCUUAAAAGCCACAAAGAAAUGUUAAUUCUCACAAUCGCAGCACAAGCAUCUUUGUGGAAUGUACGCAAUGUUUAUGCUAGAGACAUUAUGCAAAAUCCGUUUGUAGCUUUAAGAUCAUUGUAUGUUUUUUUUGGUGUUUUUUUUUUUUUCUUUUUUUCUUCUUUUCUUUCUGAGAGGUUUUUGUCUGUCAGUCAAUCAAGAUGCUAGCAACCUUAUACCUUUAACAGAUGGCCAGCCAAAUAGGAGCAGCGGGGAAGGGCUUAUUUAUUUCACCAGUGGAAAGAAACUUUGUAGUUCUGGACAUGAUUUCAAACCAGUCCCAGAUAGUUGGGGUUUUUUUUUUUUUUUUUUUUUUUUUUUUUUAAAGAGAAAAUAGAAACUAUGGUUAUAUUUCAUUAAAUUUUAAUGCCAUGCCACUGAAUAUGUGAGAGGGACUGGUUUGAAAUUGGCGAGUGUGUUCGUUGGGGUUUGUUUAUUUUCCUUGCCUUGAGACCAUUAAUAGUGAAGCAUGUUUUUAUUUUUUUUCUAAUCAUUUUAAUUUUUUACACUUUUCUUAAAGUAUUUAGAAUUUGCUUCAUUUGCUUUUUUUUCUUGUUAGGAAACACUUCUCACUUUGAUAUGCACAGCCAUGUUAAGAAAGGGAUAAAUCAGAAGAGGAGUGUGUUUGUUUUUCACGAUUGGGCAUUACAGAAAGCUUAUUUAUUUAUUUUUUUCUGUCAAGGCCCACAGCAGUGUUUGCAGAAUGUUAAAAGGAACAUGGCACAUCAUUUUGGGGGAGAAAGUACAUGCUUGAAGCACACAAAUAUCACUGUUCAGUACGAGUUUUAUACCCUACCAGGGCUGUGUCUUCAGUGUGCAUGUGACUCUGAAAAAAACUUUAUUUUUUGGUUCAUUGAUGCUUCCCUGGCGUGCAUUCUUGUGAGAUUAUUGUCAAACGCCCAUCCGGUUUCUGUGCGAGUGGUAUCCAGAAAAAAAGCAUCACAAAAGGCACAAAGCAGCCGUCGUACAGAGAAAUAAAGAGAACCUGUGUUGACUUUUUUUUUUCUUCCCGCUCUGGCCAAGGGAUGGUGGCCACUGAACAACCUGAACCUAUGUGCGUAUAGCAAGUAACUUCUAUGUGAGAUAAAAUAUUGCUGUUGUUGGCUGUGAUGAAUGGAACGAGUUUCAACUAUCUGUAACGAGAACAUUAAAAAAAAUUCCAAAAUGGCCUUAUAAAGAAUUUUUAAAAAGAUGUCUUGUCAGAAUAAAAAGGUCAAACUGUUGAAAGAGAA